rnacentral:tRNA from 1 species
GGAGAGGUGCCGGAGUGGUCGAUCGGGCUUGACUCGAAAUCAAGUGUGCGGAUUAUCCGCACCGUGGGUUCGAAUCCCACCCUCUCCGCCA